rnacentral:rRNA from 1 species
GUGUCAGCCGCCGCGGUAAUACGGAGGGAGCUAGCGUUGUUCGGAAUUACUGGGCGUAAAGCGCACGUAGGCGGCUCAGCAAGUCAGGGGUGAAAUCCCGGGGCUCAACCCCGGAACUGCCCUUGAAACUGCUAAGCUAGAAUCCUGGAGAGGCGAGUGGAAUUCCGAGUGUAGAGGUGAAAUUCGUAGAUAUUCGGAAGAACACCAGUGGCGAAGGCGACUCGCUGGACAGGUAUUGACGCUGAGGUGCGAAAGCGUGGGGAGCAAACAGGAUUAGAAACCCCCGUAGUCC